CGUAAUUCAUGGCUCCCAUAGCAAAUGGAACGUAGUACUUUAGCAGUUUAUCUUGGUUACUUGGUGAUGGUUACAUAGCAAUACAGUUAUCUCAUUCUUUAAGGGCUGUUUAAUAUUUGGGGGUGGGUCUGGAUGUAGUAUAGUUUUUGCUAAUUUUUGUUGAGCAUUAAAAUUGUUUUUAAUCUUACAUAAUAAACAGUGCUACAAUGAAUCCUUGACACUUACAUCAUUACGUACAUGUGCCAAUAUAUUUUAGGUAUCCUAAGAGGAAACACCAAUUAUUACUACCACAAAUAGUAAAAUAUGAAGGUACCCAUUUCCCUACAUUCCCAACAACACCUUGGAUUAAAUUUUUUGAGUUUUGCCACUCUGGUAGAUGGAAAAUGUUAUCUCAUCUUACCUUGUACUUCCUUUAUUAUGAGGAGAGCUCAACAUCUUUCUGAAUUGUCAGUUUACGAUUUUUGCCAUUUUUUGUUAUUUCACUGGUUUGACAGAUAAUAUGGUAAGGAAAGUAUCAUUUUUGUCAUAUGUGGUGUGAAUAUUUGUAUUAAUCUUUUCUUUUUUGAUUUUACUUGUGUUAUUUUCACCACAUAAAAUAUUUGCCAUUUUAUGAAAUUCUGUACAUCAAGGUUUGCCUUUGGAUUCAAGGAUUCAUUGUGUAGAAAGGGCUUAUUCAGAACUAUUUGUGUAUGUGUGUAUAUACAUGUUUUUUAUUUAAGUUAAAAAAUUAUUU